rnacentral:rRNA from 1 species
AUGCAUUGGGAAUUUGGGCUAGAGGUGGACCUGAGAUACCUGGGGAUAUUUCUUUACAGAAAUGUCACUGAGCAAACUUUCCGCAGAUAUAAUUUUAGCACCGCCGUGUUUUUGUUGUACGUUCAGUUCGUGCGUCCAUGCGCGUACAAUCAUGACUUGAGUUUGUUUGAGCGCCUCAAUACACACGUGGAGGGCCUAAUUGACCAUUCAGUCGAGGAACAACACACAACUGAAGAUGGAGGCCUGGUUGCCAGGCCCCAGGCGUGGCACAAGCAAGAUGAAGACCAUGGCAUCGUCCGAUCACGAGAUUGCCUUGUGGCGGCCACGAACCUCCCACCCCUUCUCUUCUUCCCCUCCCUAGGCUCCCUCGAUUGUAGUGUUUUGUAG